AGAGUUGACAGAGUUUAAAUCUGACUCAGGAUGAGCGCUGGCGGCGUGCAUAAUACAUGCAAGUCGAGCGAACGGACGAGAAGCUUGCUUUUAUUGAUGUAAGCGGCGGACGGGUGAGUAACACGUGGAUAACCUCCCUAUAAGACUGGGGAUACCUUCGGGAACCCGGAGUUAAUCCCGGAUAAUAUUUUGAACCCCCAUGGUUCAAAAGUGAAAGACGGUCUUGCUGUCACUUAUAGAUGGAUCCGCGCUGCAUUAGCUAGUUGGUAAGGUAACGGCUUACCAAGGCAACGAUGCAUAGCCGACCUGAGAGGGUGAUCGGCCACACUGGAACUGAGACACGGUCCAGACUCCUACGGGAGGCAGCAGUAGGGAAUCUUCCGCAAUGGGCGAAAGCCUGACGGAGCAACGCCGCGUGAGUGAUGAAGGUCUUCGGAUCGUAAAACUCUGUUAUUAGGGAAGAACAUAUGUGUAAGUAACUGUGCACAUCUUGACGGUACCUAAUCAGAAAGCCACGGCUAACUACGUGCCAGCAGCCGCGGUAAUACGUAGGUGGCAAGCGUUAUCCGGAAUUAUUGGGCGUAAAGCGCGCGUAGGCGGUUUUUUAAGUCUGAUGUGAAAGCCCCCGGCUCAACCGUGGAGGGUCAUUGGAAACUGGAAAACUUGAGUGCAGAAGAGGAAAGUGGAAUUCCAUGUGUAGCGGUGAAAUGCGCAGAGAUAUGGAGGAACACCAGUGGCGAAGGCGACUUUCUGGUCUGUAACUGACGCUGAUGUGCGAAAGCGUGGGGAUCAAACAGGAUUAGAUACCCUGGUAGUCCACGCCGUAAACGAUGAGUGCUAAGUGUUAGGGGGUUUCCGCCCCUUAGUGCUGCAGCUAACGCAUAAGCACUCCGCAGGGGUAC
rnacentral:rRNA from 1 species